GCGGCUAUAGUUUAGUGGUAGAACUCCGGUUUGUGGAGCCGGCCGUCCGGGUUCGAUUCCCGGUAGCCGCC
rnacentral:tRNA from 1 species